GGUUGUGUGGGGUAGUGGUCAUCCCUUCGGAUUUUGAAGACUUUGUUGUUUCCAAAAGUUCCGACAACCCCGGUUCGAACCCGGGCACGACCU
rnacentral:tRNA from 1 species